AAAAAUAAUUAAAAUACAUAAAUUUUCUUUCAAACAAUGGCAAAUUUUAAUUUUUUUCAAUUAAUUUAUUGUUUAGUGAUAGAUGUGAAAAAAAGGACAAAUAGGAGGAGUCAUAGUAGCACUAAUCAGGAGGUCUAGAAGGAGUCAUAGUUCCAAUAAUCAGGUCUAGAAGGAGUCAUAGUUCCAAUAAUCAGGUCUAGAAGGAGUCAUAGUACCACUAAUCAGGAGGCCUAGGAGGAGUCAUAGUUCCAAUAAUCAGGUCUAGAAGGAGUCAUAGUUCCAAUAAUCAGGUCUAGAAGGAGUCAUAGUUCCACUAAUCAGGAGGUCUAGAAGGAGUCAUAGUUCCAAUAAUCAGGUCUAGAAGGAGUCAUAGUUCCAAUAAUCAGGUCUAGAAGGAGUCAUAGUACCACUAAUCAGGAGGCCUAGGAGGAGUCAUAGUUCCAAUAAUCAGGUCUAGAAGGAGUCAUAGUUCCAAUAAUCAGGUCUAGAAGGAGUCAUAGUUCCACUAAUCAGGAGGUCUAGAAGGAGUCAUAGUUCCAAUAAUCAGGUCUAGAAGGAGUCAUAGUACCACUAAUCAGGAGGCCUAGGAGGAGUCAUAGUUCCAAUAAUCAGGUCUAGAAGGAGUCAUAGUUCCAAUAAUCAGGUCUAGAAGGAGUCAUAGUUCCACUAAUCAGGAGGUCUAGAAGGAGUCAUAGUUCCAAUAAUCAGGUCUAGAAGGAGUCAUAGUUCCAAUAAUCAGGUCUAGAAGGAGUCAUAGUUCCACUAAUCAGAGCUCCUAAAAUGACUCCAUGAACAGUGAACUACUUUCACAAUCCAGCUGUGAAAAACAGACAGCAGCUGCUUCAGACUUGGUUCAGGGGUUCUCAGUGGACCUGACCAUUCCUACCACAGUAAAUACAUAGUCCUGACAGUGAAGCACAGAGACAUUUUCUGCCUCUUUGUGGUCAUUUUGUGUUUCUUUGUGGUUGUAUUUUGUCUUUUUGUGGUCACUUUGUGUCUUUGUGUUCGUUUUGGAUCUCUUGUGGUUGUUUUAUGUCUUUUUGUGAUCAUUUUGCGUCUAAUUGUGGUCAUUUUGUGUCUGUCUUGGUCAGGACUGUCAUGUUGAAUACACAGCCUUCUGUCUGUUCUGCUGUCUGCAUUUGUGGAAUCACUCAUUAAUUCCUUGUUAAUAUCCAUCAGGUUUGACCUCCACAGGUUCAGCUCCACCAUCAGCUCCAGUAAACCAGCAAAACCACAACCAGGAGCAGCAAUUAGUGAGUAAUCUCAUGACAGAAAAAACAAACAAAUGCAGCUGCUUUCAUAAAAAAAACAAACUCAUCUUUAAAUGUCACUUUUUGCUGCUUUCUUCCAUUUACAUGAGGUCAGGAAGAUUAUUCUGUUAGGAUUUCAGCAUUUAGUCUGAUAAAACGACAUCUGUCCACCUUGAAUUUGUCAUUUUUCACAGUUUCCUGAUAUUAAAAGACCAAACAGUUGAUCUAGGAAACAUCAGGUGCUUCUAAUGGGCUUUUUAGUGCAUUAUUGAUCGCAGCAUGUGUGGGUCUCCGGGGGCUAAAGAUCACAGCUAACCGCUCAGCGCUGUUUACUCCUAUUGAUUUUCCUCAGACGGAAAAUGAUGUGGAACCGCCUCGUGGACAGUCAGGAGGAUGCUAAGCUCCA